UAUUGAGUAAGUCAUCCUCUGCACACACACUCUCAGGGAUAUGGUAACCAUUCUUUCCUUUGACCCUUCAGGCCUCACGUGUACCAGCUCUCUGCUUUCCUUUGCCUUGGGACGUUCCAUCCCUGGAAGUUUCCCUGCCCACAUCUUUGUAGAGAGUCCAUUCUCCAAGCUUCAGUGUGUCAUCUGUGAGGACUGUGACCAACCUGGUACAUCGCCUCAGGGCAUUCAUUUCAGGCUCCUUCUAAAUGGUCAAGUUUUCAAGAUUGUUUUGGCUCUAGCAAAACAAGUUGGAACAUUCACAUCAUCCAGUGUCGACCACAACAACAAAAGUUUCAGGACACUUACUAUGUGCUCAACAUUGUAUUAGGUAUUAUGGUUGACCCUAAAGAAGCAUCAGCUUGGCUUUGCACCAAAGAAGUUUUUAGUCAAGUUGGAGAGAGAUCACUACUCAAAGAACGCGAGAGACUAAUGGAAGACAAUAUAUUGGCAGCAGACUAAAAGGCAGAAUGGUCACACUUCAAAAUGUUUGGUACAAGCUAUGGUGAUGUUAUUGAUCUUCUGAUUUGAUGUUCCUGUGAAGGUUCUAUGACCUAUUUUGAUAUGUAGACAGUGGUAAAAUGCUCAAAGCUCUUUGCUACGAUAUGUAAUAACAAAGGGAACAGUAAAAAAUAUUCUGUUUAAAUAAGCCAGAUCACUUUUACAUGUGAUGGCCAAGCCAUGCAGGGGAGGAGGUGCUGAGCCUGGUUCUGUUAGUAACUGAGUGGUAACUGAAGAAGACAAAUCUAACCAGGCAUGGCAAGUCUGUGGAUGCCAUGAGAGCCUGUGCAUUUAGAACUAGGGCACACUAACAGAGAUCAAACUAAGUUUUUCCACUAACAUCAGACCUUUGCAAUUUAAUGAUUAUAAAACUUUCCUAACAUUUGCAAGUUUCUAAACAUUUAUUUUCUUUUAUUCUGUGCAAUUCCUAUUACCAUUGAAAUUAUUUAGGUCACAUAUUUUUGUGUUAUUUAAGUAACACUCAAAGACAAAACCAAGAAAUUCUUUUUCUACUUUUAACCAUCCUGAUUGGAUAGUUUAUAUUUAUAUCAAGUUCUAAUCUCCUAAAAUUUUUAGUGUGUUUAAUAAUGAAUCUUUGAAGAAUAUGAUACACUUGUAUAAUAGCUUUUUCAUAUAAUAAAAUUUUCCAAAGUAAAUAACCUGACAAAUUAAAAAAAACUCAUACAUUAAAUGUAAAGUACUAUUUUGUUAUAAUCAUAGAAUUUAAUAAAUUAAAAGGAUUUUAGAGAAUAUUAAGUUGAUGGAAGUUACUAUAACUCACAAAUAUUUUGGUACUCCCACCUUCUGGGCUUAUAGCAGAAUUGCACUUCUAUACUGACUUGAAGCCAGGUGUGGACAUAUGACAUGCUUUAGCCAAUUAAACUUGAUCAUGUGUUAUUACUGGGCAAAAGCUUUAAGAAGCAGUGGGUGGUUUUCCUGUGUCAUUGUGACCAGUGAUAUUCCAGGCAGUGGUAGCUCUGUUAUCUUGAAUCUUGGAGUGAGGAUGAUGACAAAGCAGGAACAUGAUCCCAGCUGACCUGCAUAGAACAUCUAGAGGGAAGGAGAAAUAAAAUUUUUGGUUUAAACUACAAAUACAGUCAGCAAACACAAAUACAGUCAGUAAGAUUUGGUGAUUGUAACCACAGCCUAACUUAGAUCACCCUGUUUGAUACAAAAUCCACAUUCCCCAUUGUCAAAGAGUUAUUUAAGGCACAGAGAAAUUGCAGCACUUGACUGUGGUUGCAAAUGAGGUUGACAAAAUCUUUUCCAGAAUCAAUAUCUGCUGCCUAGAGUAGUAUAUUUUUCCACUAUACCAAUGUUCUCCCAAAUUUUCCAUGUGUACCAACAUUGAAUAUGAGGUGAUUUUGUGAUAUAAAUAUUACUUUAAAUGAUAAUGUAUCACUUGGGCAGAAAGUUAAUGUCUUUUCAGUUGUCUUUCACUCUUUCCGAUUAAUGAAAGGAGGAAUUCUCUAUUUGGUGUUAGCAUGUCUAUAACUGUGGAUAUUUAGCUGCCUUCUAACCAUUCCUUUAAAAAAAAAAAAAAAAAAAGAAAUGAGAGAACAGGACUCAGGCUCUGAGCCUUCCUUAGGCACCAGACAGAAUUCAAUAAGUGUUUGAUUUUCACUGAGAUAAAUUUUACAGUUACUUUUUGUUGUUGUUGUUGUGGAGACAGAAUCUCUCUCUGUCGCCCAGGCUGGAGUGCAGUGGCGUGAUCUCGGCUCACUGCAAGCUUCAUCUCCCAGGAUCAAGUGAUUCUCCUGUCUCAGCCUCCUGAGUAGCUGGGACUACAGGCACAUGCCACCACAUCCAGCUAAUUUUUGUAUUUUUAGUAAAGACAGGUUUUCUCCAUGCUGGCCCGACUGGUCUCAAACUCCUGACCUCAGGUGAUCUGCCCACCUUGGCCUCCCAAAGUUCUGGGAUUAUAGGCAUGAGCCCCUGUUCCUGGCCACAGUCACUUCUUUUAUAAGGUUUUCCAUUUUCAUAGUGACAUAACAUUUACUUUAAAGAUAUAUUUGUUCAAGAACCAAAAGUUAAAGAAAAAUAUUAACUAAAUUACAAGGCAGGUGCUAUGCAGAUAUGGCAGAAAUUGCAAGAGUAAUUAAUACACAGUGGUGAGUGGUGAGGUGAAAAUAACUGGUGCUGGGUAAAGAAAUUCUACCAUGUCGAAGUACUGACAUCAGAUCCUCUCUUUUCAUAAAAAACAG
ensembl:lincRNA